GGUAGCUAUGUUCGGAAGGGAUAACCGCUGAAAGCAUCUAAGCGGGAAGCCUACCUCAAGAUAAGAUUUCCCUAGGAAUUUAUUCCUCUAAAGAGCCGUUCGAGACUAGGACGUUGAUAGGUUGGGUGUGGAAGCACGGUGACGUGUGAAGCUGACCAAUACUAAUUGCUCGUGAGGCUUGACUAUACAACACCCAAACAGUUG
rnacentral:rRNA from 1 species